GUGGGGAAUAUUGGACAAUGGGCGCAAGCCUGAUCCAGCCAUGCCGCGUGAGUGAUGAAGGCCCUAGGGUUGUAAAGCUCUUUCACCGAUGAAGAUAAUGACGGUAGUCGGAGAAGAAGCCCCGGCUAACUUCGUGCCAGCAGCCGCGGUAAUACGAAGGGGGCUAGCGUUGUUCGGAAUUACUGGGCGUAAAGCGCACGUAGGCGGAUAUUUAAGUCAGGGGUGAAAUCCCAGAGCUCAACUCUGGAACUGCCUUUGAUACUGGGUAUCUAGAGUAUGGAAGAGGUGAGUGGAAUUCCGAGUGUAGAGGUGAAAUUCGUAGAUAUUCGGAGGAACACCAGUGGCGAAGGCGGCUCACUGGUCCAUUACUGACGCUGAGGUGCGAAAGCGUGGGGAGCAAACAGGAUUAGAAACCCUGGUAGUCC
rnacentral:rRNA from 1 species